UGGUAAAGUUGGGAUGUCAGCUGUUCCUA
rnacentral:piRNA from 1 species